UACGUAGGGACCAAGCGUUGUUCGGAUUUACUGGGCGUAAAGGGCGCGUAGGCGGCAAUUCAAGUCAUCUGUGAAAUCUCCGGGCUUAACUCGGAACGGUCAGAUGAUACUGCUUUGCUAGAGUACAGAAGGGGCAAUCGGAAUUCAUGGUGUAGCGGUGAAAUGCGUAGAUAUCAAGAGGAACACCUGAGGUGAAGACGGGUUGCUGGGCUGAUACUGACGCUGAGGCGCGAAAGCGUGGGGAGCAAACAGG
rnacentral:rRNA from 1 species